UGGUAUCUUCCCAGACCAGGGAUCGAACCUGCAUCCCCUGCAUUGGCAGGUGGAUUCUUAUCCACUGCACCACCAGGGAAGCCCACAGCCUCCUUUCUUAAGCCACCUCUUCUCCCCACAGUCCCAUCAGUCCUCUCUCUAACCUUCCAGGACUGGUGUCUCUGCAAACUCUCCCCCCAUAAGACUGACCACCGCUCCCCACAGAGCACUGAAACCCAGCUCUACCUCCCAGACGGCCCCCUGGCCCAGGGCUCCUCUCUGAGAAGAAGACCACAGAGGGAGAGAUUUGGAUGAGGCGGCCCCAGCCAUGGGCCAGUCCCUAGGAGAGGCUGUGUGAAGUCAGACGCAGCAAACAUCUCCUGUUGUUGGGCACUGAUCUGGAAAAGAGCUGUGAUCAAAAUCAGAGCAGGACUCUUGUUCUUAGACCCCAGCUGCUAUGCCGCAAGGAAGUCCAGGCGCACAGCAGCAUAGGUGGAGGUGCAGUGCCCACAGCCAGCAUCUGACUGCCACCACGUAAGAGACCCGAAAAGAGAACAGUCCAUCCUGAGUCCGGUCAAACUCCAGAACCGUAAGAGAUAACGAUAAAAUGGUUGUUCCUGUUUCACACCACUAAGUCUUGGGGUGGUUGGAAAUACAGUAGUGACUGGGACAUAUUCUAUCACAGGCUCCAUCCUGCACCAUGAGUAGCCUAGGACUCAUGUGUGUUGGCACCCCCAGAACGUCUGUUCAAACUCUCUACACUCUCCCUAUGUCCUCUUGCACAACAGCACCACUGGCCAGCUCUCGGGAAGAUAAGGUGGGCAGAAACCAGUUCAGGUCUGGAAAGUGGGCCGGGGGCCUUGUAGGCAGGGGACCCAGAGUAUAGUCUAGAAUGGAGUGUGGCUUCUACUCCUGGUCCCAGUGGAGCAGGGAGGGCAGGACCAGAGUGAGGGCUUCUAAAGCCCAGCGCCCAGGCAGGGGCAGUACUGGCGGAGUACUUUAUAUCUACUGUCUCUUGUUCCUCCCCCAGCCCUGCCCCACUGGGCUCAUUGUCUUCGUUGCCCACAAGAACACAGAGGCUCACAGAAAGUCAGCCACAGGGCACAGGCACACCAGUAGCAGCCAAGGUCACAUGGUGGCCUUUGUCAUACCACAUGGCCCCCAAGGCCCUCCUUGGCUCCAAGACACUUGAUGAGCAUUUCUCAGACAUACAGUCUACCUACCUCUGUUUAAAAACCAAACAAAACUGUACCCACUUUAGACUAAAACGGGAGGCCCGAGGAGCCUGAAAUAGGAGAACCCAGCCUUGACCGUGGGGGAUGAGGCCGGAACUCAGAGCGCUGGAGGCGUCCAGCUGCCGUCCAUCCAGGAGCCCAGUCCUGUUGGAGGUCACCAAACCAGCUGGUGGAGACUCAUUUAUCUCUGUAGCUCCCCACCAAAGGACCUCUUUAUCAGCCCAGUCUUUAAACCCGAUGUCCACCCCAAGGAGUGUCUUUUAAAACCGUUUGGCCUUGAGAAAGGCAGUCUGCCCCUUAUCUCUCUGUUUUGUUCUGUGUUGGCUUCCUGGUGGGUUAUCGGGGGAGGCUUUGGUUUCUCCGUCUCCUGUUAUCUCCCUGCUGGCUUUCAAGGCUGCCCUCUCAGCAGCUCCUGGCCUGAGCUGGUGCCUUACCCUGCAGAGACUAGAGAACUGGCGGGGCAGGAGCCUUCCCGCCGGUCCUUCCUGAAUCCCAACUCCUGGAACUUGUCUGCCCCUUGUCCAGCUGCGCGCUCAGCAAGGCUGGCUGUGUGUCACUUGUGGCUUCUCCAGGGACAUAUGACAUCAAGAGGGCAAACCCCAUGGAGCCUAGAUUUGGGGAGUUCACAGAGCAGCCACUUUUAGUUUUUUUAGGAAAACCAAUGUAGGCUUCUCACUUCACUUUUGUAUGUUUAUUUAUUUGCCAAAUACAUUACAAAAAGUAACUUCUAUUUCUUAAGACAGGAUGAGGGGGAUUCCCUGGUGGUCCAGUGGUUAGGAGUCUGCGCUCUCACUGCCAAGAGGGCCCGGGUUCAAUCCCUGGUCGGGGAACUAGGAUCCUGCAAGCCAUGCAGCGUAGCCAAAAAACAAACAAAAAACACCGCCCAAUAAUGUCAGAUUAAAAUGAUGGUGUCCCCCCACUCCCAGCCCUAUCCUCUGACAAGAAAGGAUGCUGGCAGCCUCAUAUAAUCCCUGAGGCCUGGGAAAACCUUGUCUGGGUUGCAUCAGCUCCUGGAUAGGUAUUAAGACCCAGAUCUGAGGAAACAAGGCUCUGGGAAUUCCACAGAGCUGCCAGGUCCUUGUACACACAGGGCUGUUUCAUGGCCUGCAUAGCACCCUUGCCUGCGAUGCACCCCCAUCCCCUCCCUCACACUCACACUCAUGCUUCAGACACAGCCCAGGUGUCUCCUCCUCUAAGUAAGGCCUGCACUGUGGGUGUAGGAUGUGUGCGGUCACACAGGCCCUGUGCUGAGAAGGGCCCAGUGCUUGGUUUUAUGCUCUGCCAUCGCCAUCUCAAAAUCUGAGCAAAGGGCCUUGCAUUUUCAUUUUGCAUGGGGCCAUACAGGUUAUGUAGCCAGUCCUGCUUCCAUAACAUCUUUCUGAUGUCAUCUCUCACCCUGAGCUGAAUCUGGGGCCUCCACUGCACUCAGACAGUCCCUCUGCUCACUCCCCGAUCACUCUACGCUGAAAGCCCUACUCACUUAUCUGUCUCCCCACUAGACGCUGAACCCCCUGAGGGCUGGGGCAGAGUCUAUGUGAGUCCCACACCAUACUUAGUACAUGGCAGGUACUCAGUAAAUGUGUGUUAACAUAAAUAGUCGAGGGGAAGGCUUGGCCCAGUUCCUUAUGUGAUUCUGGCUAGAGCUGGGCUUUGACCCACUUCUCCUGCUUUGGGGCCAAGACAAUCUUCCCUGCCCUCUUGCUCUCCUGACCAGUGGCCAAAGGCCAAAACCAACCCAGACCAAAGCCAAACAUAAACUUGUUUUUCUGACCUAGGACCCAAAUUAAUGUAUUUUGUUUUUUCCGAAAGGUACUCACCAUUUUCUAGAAGAGUUAAAGCCAACUAAUCCAGACCAUCAGAACACCCUCAGCUCUCCAGUGCUGGGUGGAGUAGAGUCAGAGUGAGGACCCAAAUACCACCCAAAGAGAACUAAGACCCCUGCUGGGCCAUAAGGGACUCAAACUAGGUCCCAGAUAUGAGGAACCAGUAAGCUGUGAACAAGGGGAGUGGCAAGUGCUGAGGCUAGAUUAUACAGGAGCAAAAAACCCGAAGGGUAUGGCUUAUACCAGUUCUGCCAAAUCCACCAUGCAAUCCCCUUACAGCCUUUCAUUCAUUCGUUCAUUCAUUCAUUCAACCACUCACGCAGGGGAUGUCUAGUGAGGAAGACUGACAGAUUCCAAUCUUUUUAAUGCUUAGGUUCCAAUCUUCUUUGGAACAAAGCAGAGUCUAUAAAUAAUAUGGGGGAAACAAGCCAUUGGUCCCCACCUGGCUCUCUGCACUGGACAGAGGUUCCACAGACGCACCUCCUGGGCUUUUGCUGUCUUUAAAGGCAGCCCUCUUCUUGCUCUGGGACCCAGGCCCAAGCCAGUGGUUAUCUGAGCAUGCAACAGGCAGCACUGUGCUGUGCGCUGAACUUCCCCAACUUCCCCAGGGCCCCUCUCUCCUCCCUUAGCUGAGUUCUCACCCAGCUGCUCUAGGCCCCAUCUGAUUGGACCCUAGUGGAAGCCAGACCCAGAGCCACAAGGUCUCCUCUGCCUGCCCUGGAGGCCUGGGAGGUAGAACUGACCAUGCCUCCCCUCAACAAAUAUUUAAACACCCUCUGGGUGCCCAGCUCUGGGCUCAGGAGGGUGUAUCCAGCCCCAGGAGGGAAGGGAUCUGGUCUGCUUUCUAGAGCUCUGGUCCCCAUUGUGGGCACCCGAGAAAGAGGUGUUGAAGGAAUGAAUGGCCAGGCCUGGGCAGACUAACUUCUGGACAAAGUUGGGGCACAGAUGAUCAGUGCUUGGCUGGUCAGAGAGGGAAGAAGUCAGGAGUGUGGGAGAGGUGAAAAUAAAACGUUUCUAUUCUCUAAAUUCAAGAAAAGAAAAGACUUCUGGGGCCAAGCCCUAAGCCACGAACAGAUCCAUUUUAAACCUGGCAGAACCAUUGACAGCCUUACGGCAGUACGCUGAGAGCCAACCAAUCAGUGGUGGUCUCAUUCCAGUGACCACGCUUCUGAGAGCCAGCCAAUCAGCAACAGCCUUAUUCCCCAGCGCUACCGCUUCUGAAAGGCAACCAAUUCCUAAACUUUAAGGUUGAAAGUCAGCCAGUCUGCAAACAGUCUGGCUUCUGAAAGUCAGCCAAUUGCUGAACAGAAUGCUUUCCAUACCCUGUGUAAGAUCAGCUCUUGCGUUGCACAGAUUUUGUGCUUUCAUAGCAAGUACAGUUUUGUUUUUUUCUUUUUGCAAGUAAUAAAUACAGCUUCAUUGUUUCAUAUACGUAUGGGGUGGCCGGGGGAGACUUGCACUCAGAACACGUGUCCCAGUGUGACCGGCGGUUUCUGGGCCUCUGGGCCACUUCUCCAUAAUCCUGUCCUCUUCUUUCCCCAGUGAUGUCUUGAGAACUGGGGAGAGGGAGUGUGUGUAUGGGGUAUCUUCACAAGAUCCUCUGUGGGACCCCACAGGUGGGGGAGCCGGGCUCAGCCUAAGGGAGAUGCACGGGCAGACACAGCCCAGCUCUCCCAGGGCUGCUUUGAAAGGGACACUGAUGGAUGGGGAGAUGACAUCACAUCUGAUUGGAGUGACAUGGUCUGAUGGAGAAGGCAGGACACCUAAGAGCAAUCAGCAAAACAACUCUGGAUCUCCCAAGUCUCACUCAGCCAGGCCCCUCUUCCUGGCCCAGGAGACAGGUGAAAGCAGGACUGGCGUCCAAAGGUCAUCUCUGCCCAGCAUCAGACCAAAGCACCACAGUCCCCUCAGGCUCUUCAGGGCUGGGCCUUACCUCCCUCUAGUGCCUCUUGGACCCAGGUGAGUGAUGGGUUUUCCUUCUCAAGGCCCAGACCUGCUUGCUGCUCAGGUGAGGCGUCUGGGGUUGAACCAAUAGACCUUGCCCCUCCCGUGCUGCUCACCUCUCCCAGAGAGAACUGCUUCACAACCAGGCACAGGAAGGGCGAGGCUGUGUCUGGGCACCCAUGGAUGGGCACCGAUAGGGAAUGGGGUUCAGUGACACUGCACAGGGGAGGUGGUGGGGGCCAGAAGGGAUCUUCCUGAGCCCUGGGAUUCUAUAAGUGGGGCUGCUCUGGGUGUGAGAUGCAGGGGCCUAUUCAGAUGAGAUGCAAAUCAACCCUGCGGUGCCCCAGCCCAUCCCAGGGCCACCCUUCACCUUCCUCCUGCCUGACUGUUGCAGGGAAGCCGAGCUGGGGCUGAGCAGUCACUAAGGGGGCUGGGACCCUCAGCUUCACGCCGGGAGAGGUUCUUUCCCUCCUGCAGCCUCAGUUUGCCCACUUGAAUUAUGUCUAAGAGCUUGUUUCAAGUGAACUGAGGUCUAGGAGGCUGUCCAGCCAGGACUGGGUUGGGGUGGAGUAGGGGAUGGGGAGGUCUUGGAGGCCAGAGAAAGUAGGAAGCCAUCUUGGCCUUGAGGUGUAACAUCCCAGCAAUGUGGCCAGCCAACUUCUGGCUCAAGGGUGAGAGGCGAUGAGCCUGAGGGUGGUCCGUGAGGGUGGAGACAGCUUGUGCUAUUGAUAUGCAAAGGUCAGGAUGGUGGACGCUGUAUACUCCAAGUGUAGGCAAUAAGCGGGGAGGGGGAUGUAUGCAGAGAACUUUAAAACAGUAACAGAAUAAAGUCUAUCCGCCUUUUAUUCUCCCAUGUGCUGGCAGUCCUAAACCCUGUCAGUGGCAAAAUACUCCCCUCUGAAAGUCUUCUGUUAGUUGAUGUUCUAAACAAUUAUUCCAAUUACUGUAAUUUUUAUAAUAAAUAAGCUUCACAUUACCACUUUUACUGCAUAUUCAUGAAUAAAUGUUGGGUUCUACAGGAAAGCUCACUCAGAGAAUUCCCUGUUACACACAGGCCAGCCAAGCUCCAAGCACAGUUUCAUUUGUCAUUCCUCACCGGGCCACCCCAUCUCCAGUCCCUGCAGCACAAAUUCCUGCAUUUAAACAGUGGAUUCUUAAUAAGCAAGGACAGCACAGUGAUUGUAAACUUGAGGGUUCUGUUUCCAUUCUGCCACGCUGUGUGACAGCUUGGAGGUUUUAUUUGUGAAAUUAGAGCCAAGUAGGAGGUGUAAUAUUUUUGUUUGAUAAAUGCAAAGGAGGGAAGUGUUAAAGAACGGUCCACCACGAGUCAAAUGUGCUCAGUACGCCGCUGGCUCGUGCAGCUCUGCAGAGGGGGGACCAGGCAAGUUCUCUACCCUGGGGGACCUUGACGUCAUGGGGCAGGCUGCCUAAUCUGCAUAUCUAUCCGACCUACAGCCAAAUGUGAAGGGGUUGCAGAACCAGCAUAUAUUCGCUAAACCUGUCAAGUAGCCACAUCCCUCGUAGAGGGAUGGCCUGGGGACUUUUGCAGCCCAGCAGUAGUGCCCCCUCCCCCACCCCAGCUUUAUUCACCUGUGGAUGAAGUUCCCUAGUGUAGCCUGCAGCCACCCCAUUGCCCCAGGUGGGAGGGGCGGAGGAUGGAAUGGCUCCAGCUUAGCCCUGAGCAAGCUCUGAUAAGGAGCAGAGGCCACCAGUGCCCCAGUCCUCAGCCAGGGACAAGAGUCUGGAAGGUGUCCUGAAAACCGACAGGUGCCCUCCAACCUAGGCCUGCAUCUCCCAUCCUCCCCACCCUCUCUCCUGUAAUGAGUGGAGGGGUACAAAAUCUACCACUGUGUCCUAAGGAUUAUUUUGAGCUGAAGAUAUUUGAGAAUCAACAGAUGCAGGAGGAGGCCUUUCUCUGAACUUCCCCUUAUCUGCCUAAAAGCAGAGCCUCCCAAAAGAAUUCACAUGUCAUAAAUUCCCUCCUGGGAGUUUCACAACCAGAGAAGACGGACUCCGGUCACCUGAGACCCGGAUAAGAAUUCACCUAAACAGACCUUAUCACAACACCUCUCACAUCUCCCAGCUAUUCUCCUAAGGACCCACUUAUCUUUCCUAAAAGCUGUUUGUUUUCCCAUAAGUGCCCUUUCUCCUCUUUCCCUAUUAAGGUGGUAUAUAAUAUCUGAUAAGGGGUUAAUAUCCAAAAUAUACAAAGAACUCAUACAACCCAAAGCAAACGGAAAAUACCAAACAGUCCAAUUUAAAAAUGGUCAGAAGAACUGAAUAGACAUUUUCCCAGAAAAGACAUACAAAUGGCCAAAAGGUACAUGAGAAGGUGCUUGGACAUCACUGAUCUUCAGGGAAAUGCAAAUCCAAAUCACAAUGAGAUAUCACCUCACAGUUGUUAGAAGGGCUGUCAUCAAAAAGACAAGAAAUAGGGCUUCCCUGG